rnacentral:rRNA from 1 species
CCCUUAGAUGUCCUGGGCUGCACGCGCGCUACACUGAUGUGUCCAGUAAGCACCUAACCUCUUCCGAAAGGAACGGGUAACCUUUGCAAAGCACAUCGUGAUGGGGAUAGAUUAUUGCAAUUAUUAGUCUUGAACGAGGAAUUCCUAGUAAGCACAAGUCAUCAGCUUGUGUUGAUUACGUCCCUGCCCUUUGUACACACCGCCCGUCGCUCCUACCGAUUGAGUGGUCCGGUGAAUUAUUCGGACUGCAACGCGUUCAGCUUCUGGAUGCAGUUGCGGAAAGUUUUGUAAACCUUAUCACUUAGAGGAAGGAGAAGUCGUAACA